AAACUUUCAACAACGGAUCUCUUGGUUCUGGCAUCGAUGAAGAACGCAGCGAAAUGCGAUAAGUAAUGUGAAUUGCAGAAUUCCGCGAAUCAUCGAAUCUUUGAACGCACAUUGCGCCCGUUAGUAUUCUAGCGGGCAUGCCUGUUCGAGCGUCAUUU
rnacentral:rRNA from 2 species